rnacentral:lncRNA from 1 species
AUCCGCUAUAACGGCGCCGCAAAGUGACUGGUAUGGCGGGAUUUUGGCUCUCCUGCCAUGAACCGCCAUCUGGCAUCGACAACACUGGAUGAAAUAUGACAUAAAAGUGAAUUUAUAAAUGGCGUAUGGCGGGAUUUUGGCUCUCCUGCCAUGAACCGCCAUCUGGCAUCGACAACACUGGAUGAAAUAUGACAUAAAAGUGAAUUUAUAAAUGGCGGACAGUCCUCCCCUCGCCUUACAAUCCGGUUUUGUAAGGGUUGAGAGUUAGACUCAUCCAAGAUCCUAAGAGAGAGAGUGCUGACAAAUAAGGGUGCUGUGGUGAGUGCUCUUUAUAAAUAAAUGAGAAGGGUGUGUGUGUGUGUGUGUUAUUUAAGCAUACUUCAAGGAGGUGAGUGCAAUUUCCCCUAAUAACAUUUGAAGCUGCAAUUACUAUGAUAUAUGUUGAAGUUUAACAACAAAGACAAGUUUACAUCACGUUUCUCAUAUCAUUGCCAUCAAGUUCUCAAAUCAAUCUAAUACAUGGGAUAAUUC